GCUGCGGUGUCCAAGCGUUUAAGAAGUUGGACCCGCACAGGUUCGAAUCCUGUCCGCAGCC
rnacentral:tRNA from 1 species